GCAGAUGGACAAGCUUUAUAACAUUGAAACUGCAAACCAGGAAAUUCUGUCAGUUUGCCACUGCCUGCUCUGCUCCAGCUGAAAAUACUUUAGCUCAGGUUCAGAAAUCUUCUCAGUGAGCUGCUAUUCAGACUCAGAAAGUAGCUUGGAGAAUACUCCAGACGUUAGGCUUUGCGAGUUUUUGUUUGUUUACAUAGAAAAGUCUCUUUUAAAUUUCCUUAUUCUUACACUGCAAAGAGACCUAACCUUGAUGGGUCCCAUCUGCAAUGCUCCUCCUGAAAAGAGACAGAGCUGUUUAACUGAACUGACCUAUUUGGAGGACGAAUAGACUGAUUGAAAAAGGUGCCCAGGAAGUCCUGGAACUGAGUCCUGGGGCAAGGUUCUGGAAGUUGGGACAAGAAGAUUCCUAGAAAAGAGGAAAACAAUCACUCUAGAACUGUUAUAAGCAUGCUAACCAGGACUUCAGAGAAAGGAAAAAAAAAGGCUGAACCUCGCUGGUGAUUCAGAUGGAUCAUGAGGAUCUUUCAACAAAGCUAAGUUCCCGUCUUUUAACGCAGUUAUUCUCAUACUUUUAUACUGAAAUAUCCAGAAUAGCAAAUGAGUUAAAUAUGUUUUCUGUGGGGUUCUGUACAAAGAAGAUUUAGAGCUUUAUGAACCUAAAAUAACAUAUCACAAGGAGAAAAUUUACUUGAAGUGGGAGACUUGGCUUAAAAGCAUCUAAUAUAAAUUGUAUAUUAUAUUCAAUAAUACAAAAGCAAUGCUUUAUUUAGAAUGAAUUAAAAUGCAUGCUUCAGACAAAAUGCAUGAUGUUUAGCUUUUGAUUUACUGAAUAUACUAUUCAACAGAUGUUUGAGUUACAUAGUUUGAGGAGCACAGGCCUUUGGUAUUGAUGGCUCCUGUUAAAAUAAAAACAUGUUUUCUGAGAGCAUAAUCAUAUGAAACCAGGAGCACAUAUUAACAUAAAACUCAAAUCACUUCCCCUGACUUUCUUCUUUCAAAUGUAAAGAAAGUGGGAAACAGGACAGAUGAAUUUGAAGAAACAGAAGAGCUCAGGAAAGUUCAAAGCAUGAAGCAAACUCAAAAGUAUAUCUAAAUACCUAGGGAGCACCUUCAAAGCACAAGGUACCUGAAGAUGAAACGGCAGAAGUGAAAAGAAUUGCUCGUGUAGUACAGGGCUAAAAUUGUACCUGAAGCAUCUCUGCUGCUAUCCCAGGAGAAGAAGAGUCGACAGUAGCUAUGGUAAACAUGCAUGGAAGCAUCAGGGAAAACAGAAAUUUAGAGAAGCAGAUAGAGUGAGCCCAAGGCAAGAUAAGGGUUUCUGGGUCUGAAUUUCAGAAAAGCCUGACUAUGGAGAGUGGGAGUUCCUGUUUUCUUUCAGUGACUUGCUAAUUUCAAUUUUGUGUGUGUGUGGCAUUAACAGAUUUUUGCCUAACUUGGGACAUUUUUAACAGUAGAGGAACUCUUCUGUCAGUUCUGAUAUGGUAAUUUUAAAACACAUAUUCUUUAACUGAACAUUCAUUAAAUCACUUGGCCAGGAAUCCAAAUAACAAAAUGUCUGUCAUGGAAUUCUGUGUGUAAUAGGAGUUAUGUAACUUGUUUCUUCUUAGUAGAGAGAAUAAAAAGUAAAGUCAAAACCACCCCCAGAUGACCAUUUUUAGCACU
rnacentral:lncRNA from 1 species